rnacentral:rRNA from 1 species
UCGGCGUUAAGGCGGCCAUAGCGGCGGGGCGACUCCCGUACCCAUCCCGAACACGGAAGAUAAGCCCGCCUGCGUUUCGGUGAGUACUGGAGUGUGCGAACCUCUGGGAAACUCGAUUCGCCGCCUGCC